GAAGGUAUAGCUCAAGUGGUAGAGCACAUGCUUAGCAUGCAUGAGUCCUGGGUUCAAUCCCCCAUACCUCCU
rnacentral:tRNA from 1 species